AACAUAUUGAUGGGAGUGAGUGCAGUAGUGGGAAUUUGAUUCCCUAAGACGGGUAAAGCCUUCUACUUUUUGUGUAAUAGUUACGUGCCACUUAUCUACGAAACGUACGUCGUUUCGUAACACGACAUUUUAACUCUCCGAUCCCCCCGUAAAAUGACGUCUGCUCGUACGGCGCCACGCACAGCAAACAACGGCGGCACGCAAUCCCUACUUUUCGCAAAAGGACAGACGGGACCCCGAGACGUUUCCAGGCAAGCCGAGUUAUGUAGUCUCUCCACCGUGUCCUGGGUCGUCCCCAGGGUCUCCUCCCGGUGGGACGUGCCCGGAACACCUCAGCAGGAAGGCGUCCAGGAGGCAUCCUAAACAGCCACCUCAUCUGGCUCCUCUCAAUGCGGAGGAGAAGGGGCUCUACUCUGAGCCACUCCCGGUUGACCAAGCUUUUCACCCUAUCUCUAAGGGAGAGCCCGGACACCCUGUAUCCAGGCUCUUGUUCUUUCGGUCACGACCCACAGCUCGUGACCACAGGUGAGGGUAGGAACGUAGAUCGACCGGUAAAUAGAGAUCUUCGCCUUUCGGCUUAGGUCCUUCUUCACCACAAAGGACAGAUGCAAAGUCCACAUCACUGCAGACUCCCCUUUCAUUCUUCCCUCACUCGUGAACAAGGGUUAGAUAUUUGAACUCCUCCACUUGUGGAAGGAUCUCAUCCCCGACUUGGAGAAGGCACUCCACCCUUUUCCGACUGAGAACCAUGGUCUCAGAUUUAGAGGUGCUAAUUUUCAUCCCAGCCGCUUCACACUCGUCUGCAAAACGCUCCAGUAAGAGCUGGAGAUCCCAGCUUGAUGAAGCCAACAGAACCAGAUCAUCUUCAAAAAGCAGAUAUGCAAUACUGAGGCCACUAAACCGGACCCCCUCUACGCCUCGGUUGUGCCGAGAAAUUCUAUCCAUAAAAGUUAUGAACACAAUCGGUGAUAAAGGGCAGCCUUGGCGGAGUCCAACCCUCACCGGAAACGAGCCCGACUUACUGCCGGCAAUGCGGACCAAACUCUGACACCGGUCAUACAGGGACCGAACAGCCCGUAUCAGGGGGUUAGGUACCCAAUACCCCCCAAGAACCCCCCCCACAGGACUCCGCGAGGGACACGGUUGAACGCCUUCUCCAAGUCCACAAAACACAUGUAGACUUCUUGGGAAAACUCCCAUGCACCCUCAAGGACCCUGCCGAGGGUGAAGAGCUGGUCCACUGUUCCACAGCCAGGACGAAAACCACACUGCUCCUCCUGAAUCUGAGAUUCGACUUCCCGACGGACCCUCCUCUCCAGCACCCCUGAAUAGACCUUACCGGGGAGGCUGAGGAGUGUGAUCCCCCUGUAGUUGGAACACACCCUCCGGUCCCCCUUCUUAAAAAGGGGGACCACCACCCCAGUCUGCCAAUCCAGAGGCACUGUCCCCGAUGUCAACGCGAUGUUGCAGAGGCGUGUCAACCAGGACAGCCCCACAACAUCCAGAACCUUUCGGAACUCCGGGCGAAUCUCAUCCACCCCCGGAGCCUUGCCACCUUCUGACAGGAGAUUCUGUCAGACAUUCCCAGCAGACCCUCACGAUACGUUUGUGCCUGCCAUGUCGGACCGGAAUCUUCCCCUCCAUCGUAGCCAACUCAUCACCAGGUGGUGAUCAGUUGACAGCCGCGCCCCUCUCUUCACCCGAGUGUCCAAGAGAUGCGGCCAUAAGUCCAAUGACAUGACAAUAAAAGUUGAUCAGCGAACUGUGACCGAGGAUCGCCAAGGUCCCCGCCUUCGGGCACCGCCCAGCUCACAUUGCACCCGACCCCUAUGGCCCCUCCCACAGGUGGUGAGCCCAUGGGAACGGGGACCCACGGUACCCUUUCGGGCUGUGCCCGGCCGAGCCCCAUGGCUGCAGGCUCGGCCACCAGGCGCUUGCCUGGCUCCAGAGGGGGGCCCCGGUGACCCGUGUCCAGGCAAGGGAAAAUGUCUUCCUGAAUUUUUUAUCUUCAUAGGGGUUUUUGGAGCUGUGCUUUGUCUGGUCCCUCACCUAGGACCUGUUUGCCAUUGGUGACUCUGCCAGGGUCAUAAGGUCCCAGACAACUUAACCCCUUAACAAACCCCUCCACCACGAUAAGGUGACAGCUCAAGGAGGGGCUUUCGUGUGCUGCAUUUAUGAAAUCAAUGACCUGCUUCAGAGAGCUCAAAAUUUUAUCUCUGCAUGAAACAAAAACAUUUUGGAUGCUUAAAAAAGACACUUGGUUGAAGCUUACUUUCAAAUGAAAAAAAAUAUCCAUCUACAGGGAAGCAAAAAUGCCCUCAGCAUUUGUGUUCCAUCAUCAUUUUAUCGCAUGUGGAGUGUGCAGUCAGCUGUCAACUCGAAUUAAAAAGAACUGCAAUAUUUCACUUAUCAAUGUAAAAUAUCCAUCCAUCCAUUUUCAACACUGCUCAUCCUGGUUAGGGUCACGAGGCGCUGGAGCCUAUACCAGCUGACUUCGGGCGAAAGGCGGACUACACCCUGAACUGGUCGCCAGUCAGUCGCAGGGCACAAUGUAAAAUAUAUAUUUGGAAAAAUACUACACAAUUAAAAUAUUUAUUUUCCCUGGUUAAUGCUAAUUUAGCUCCACAACAUCAGCGCACAGCGUCGGCACAUGCGGGUGGUAAGACGUCACCUUCAUCACACACGAUUGUAAGCCGUCAUCUUAGAGGUGUGAGCGAUGUUUGUUUUUGAUAUACAGUAGUUCAUGUAGCACAUAAAAUUUAAACAUUGUUUUCUUCAGAAACUCUGCUUUUCUUGGAUUUAUUCCACAGUUUAUUUGUUUAACUGUUCUGAUAUUUCGAUUUUAAGCCCUCGUAAAAGGCUUACCAGGAAACACAUUGUUACAACUUGUUUAACAAACCACAGGUCAUAAACCUGAAACAAAAGACAGAUUGAGAUAGCAAUAUUAUCUUCAAAUUAAUGAUAUAUUGCUGGCGUCGGGUGGAAUCCCUGUAUCUGCAAAACCAUCACUUUUCAGAAAGUCAAGACAAGGUUAUUUCUAUAGCCCUUAAUCACAAAAGAGUCUCAAAGAGCUUCACAGGCCCACAGUUGGCAAUGAUUGACGACAUCCCCAAAUCUAAACCCCCCAAUCGGGCGAGGAAAAAAAUCAAAACCCCAUUUUGGGAAAAAAGAAACCUUGAGAAGGGGCCGCAGUUCGGGGAUCCCCCUUCCAGGAUGACAAGGCUUCAAUGGCUGUCGAGUGGGCAGCCAGACACUUCAAAGCGUCCAUGUCACCGAACGUCUGCGACCCGCAAAUUAUAAAGAAUUUGCGGCUAGUAAUCAUUACCUGCUACUGACACUGACACACAACCUUCUUCUUUUCCUUUGGGCUUGUCCCUUUAGGGGUCGCCACAGCGCGUCAUCCUUUUCCAUGUAAACCUAUCUCCUGCAUCCUCCUCUCGAACACCAACUGCCCUCAUGUCUUCCCUCACGACAUCCAUCAACCUUCUCUUUGGUCUUCCUCUAGCUCUCUUCCUGGCAGCUCCAUCCUCAUCAUCCGUCUACCAAUAUACUCACUAUUUCUCCUCUGGACGUGUCCAAACCAUCCAAGUCUGCUCUCUCUAACUUUGUCUCCAAAACAUCGAACCUCGGCUGUCCCUCUGAUGAGCUCAUUUCUAAUUUUAUCCAACCUGGUCACUCCGAGAGCGAACCUCAACAUCUUCAUUUCCGCCACCUCCAGCUCUGCUUCCUGUCGUCUCUUCAGUGCCACUGUCUCUAAUCCGUACAUCAUGGCUGGCCUCACCACUGUUUUAUAAACUUUGCCCUUCAUCCUAGCAGAGACUCUUCUGUCACAUAACACACCUGACACCUUCCUCCACCCUUUCCAACCUGCUUGGACCCGUUUCUUCACUUCCUGACCACACUCACCAUUGCUCUGGACGGUUGACCCCAAGCAUUUAAAAUCCUUCACCCUUGCUAUCUCUUCUCCCUGUAGCCUCACUCUUCCCCCACCACCCCUCUCAUUCAUGCACAUAUAUUCUGUUUUACUUCGGCUAAUCUUCAUUCCUCUUCUUUCCAGUGCAUGCCUCCAUCUUUCUAACUGUUCCUCCAGCUGCUCCCUGCUUUCACUGCAGAUCACGUCAUCUGCAAACAUCAUGGUCCACGGGGAUUCCAGUCUAACCUCAUCUGUCAGCCUAUCCAUUACCACUGCAAAAAGGAAGGGGCUCAGGGCUGAUCCCUGAUGCAGUCCCACCUCCACCUUAAAUCCGUCUGUCACACCUACAGCACACCUCACCGUUGUUCUGCUGCCCUCGUACUUGUCCUGUAUUAUUCUAACUUACUUCUCUGCCACGCCAGACUUCCGCAUGCAGGACCACAGUUCCUCUCUGGGUACUCUGUCAUAGGCUUUCUCUAGAUCUACAAAGACACAAUGUAGCUCCUUCUGACCUUCUCUGUACUUUUCCAGCAACAUCCUCAAGGCAAAUAAUGCAUCUGUGGUACUUUUUCUAGGCAUGAAACCAUACUGUUGCUCGCAAAUACUCACUUCUGUCCUGAGUCUAGCCUCCACAACACUUUCCCAUAACUUCAUUGUGUGGCUCAUCAACUUUAGUCCUCUAUAGUUCCCACAGCUCUGCACAUCACUCUUGUUCUUAAAAAUGGGCACCAGGACACUUUUCCUCCAUUCCUCAGGAAUCUUCUCACGUGCUAGAAUUCUGUUGAGCAAGCUGGUCAAAAACUCCACAGCCACCUCUCCUAGAUGCUUCCAUACCUCCACAGGAAUGUCAUCAGGACCAACUGCCUUUCCAUUUUUCAUCCUCUUUAAUGCCUUUCUAACUUCCCCCUUACUAAUCAUUGUCACUUCCUGGUCCACUACAAUUGCCUCUCCUACUCUCUUCUCUCUCAUUUUCCUCAUUCAUCAACUCCUCAAAAUAUUCUUUCCAUCUAGCGAGCACACUGCUGGCACCAGUCAACAUAUUUCCAUCUCUAUCCUUAAUCACCCAAACCUGCUGCACAUCCUUCCCAUCUCUAUCCCUCUCUCUGGCCAGCCUGUAUAGAUCCUUUUCUCCUUCUUUAGUGUCCAACCUGACAUACAUGUCAUCAUGUGCCUCUUGUUUGGCCUUUGCCACCUCUACUUUUGCCCUGUCGCAUCUCAAUGUAUUUCGACUCUCCUCGGUCCUCUCAGUGUCUCAGUGCCACUUCUUAGCUAACCUUUUUACUUGUAUGAUUUCCUGUACUGUGAGGUUCCACCACUAAGUCUCCUUCUCUCAUUUCCUGCCAGAAGAUACACCAAGUACUCUCCUGCCUGCCUCUCUGAUCACCUUGUCUUCUGGAAGCUCCUCCUGUCGACCGAGAGCCUCUCUCUCCUCUUCCCGAAAAGCUGCACAACACUUGUCUUGUCUCACCUUCCACCACAUGGUUCUCUGCUCUGCCUUUGUCUUCCUAAUCUUCCUCCCCACCACCAGAGUCAUCUUACACACCACCAUCCUAUGCUGUCUUGCCACACUCUCCCCUACCACUACCUUACAGUCGGUAACCUCCUUCAGAUUACACCAUCUGCACAAGAUGUAAUCCACCUGGGUCCUUUUACCUCCGCUCUUGUAGGUCACCCUAUGUUCCUUCCUCUUCUGGAAAGAAGUGUUCACUAUAGCCAUUUCCAUCCUUUUUGCAAAGUCUACCACCAUCUGUCCCUCCAAGUUCCUUUCCUGGAUGCCGUACUCAACCAUCAAUUUCUUCAUCACCCCUAUUUCCUUCACCAACAUGUCCAUUACAAUUUGCACCAAUCACGACUCUCACCACUAAUCACAUUAUACAACCAUCCAUCCAUCCAUUCUCUGAGCCGCUUAUCCUCACUAGGGUCGCGGGCGUGCUGGAGCCCAUCCCAGAUAUCAUCGGGCAGGGUAUACCCUGAACUGGUUGCCAGCCAAUCGCAGGGCACACACACAUUCACACCUACGGGCAAUUUAGAGUCGUCAAUUUACCUACCAUGCAUGUUUUUGGGAUGUGGGAGGAAACCGGAGUGCCCGUUGAAAACCCCUGUCCUCAGAACUGUGAGGCAGACGCUCUAACCAGUCGUUCACCGUGCCGCCCACAUUAUACAUAACACCCGCAAUUUCAAGUUUCAGCGUCAUCACUCGAUCUGAUACUAUUUUCACCUCCAAGACAUUCUUAGCCAACUCCUCUUUUAAAAUAACCCCGACUCCAUUUCUCUUCCCAUCUACACCAUGGUAAAAUAAUUUAAACCCUGCCCCUAAACUUCUAGCCUUACUGCCUUUCCACCUGGUCUCCUGGACACACAAUAUAUCAACCUUUCUCCUAAUCGUCAUGUCAACCAACUCCCGAGAUUUUCUUGUCAUAGUCCCAACAUUCAAAGUCCCCACAUUCAGUUCUAGGCUCUGUGCUUUCCUCUUCUCUUUCUGCCGAAGAACCCGCUUUUCACCUCUUCUUCUUCUUUGACUUCGACCCACAGUAGCUGAAUUUCCACCGGCGCCCUGCAGGUUGACGGCGCCAGUGGCGGACGUUGUUAACCUGGGCCACGACCGAUUUGGUAUGGAAUUCUAAGGAUGGACGCUCAUAUUUGUUUGGCAAGGUUUUAAGCCGGAUGCCCUUCCUGACGCAACCCUCUGCAUUUAUCCGGGCUUGGGACCGGCCUACAGUUUGCACUGGCUUGUGCCCCCCAUAGGGCUGCAUUACACAAUGGUAGAUACAUGCAUACAAAUACAUUUACAUGAUAUAAAUACAAAUACAUUUACAUGAUAUAAAUACUGUAUCAAUCUGAGUUAACAGGGGCAACAAAGUACUGGGAAAGUUGAGGAAUGCUCAAAAAAACACCUGUUCAGAACUCUCCACAGGUAAACAAGUUAGGUGGAAACAGGUGAGUGUCAUGAUUGGGUAUAAAAGGAGCAUGUCCAAAACACUCAUUGCUCACAAGCAAGGAUGUGGCAAAGUUCACCACUUAGUCCAACAGGUUAAGAACAACGUUUCUCAACAUACAAUUGCAAGGAAUUUAGGGUUUUCAUCAUCUCCGGUCCAUAAUAUCAUCAAAAGAUUCAGAGAAUCUCGAGAAAUCUCUGCACGUAAGCGGCAAGGCCGAAAACUAAUAUUUAAUGCCCAUGACCUUCAAUCCCUCAGGUGGCACUGCAUUAAAAAUGUCAUCAUUGUGUAAAGGAUAUCACUUUGUGGGUUCAGGAACACUUCAGGAAAUGAGCAAAUAGUCUAACAGGGUAACAACGUUUCUCAACGUACAAUUCCAAAGAAUUUCAUCAUCUACGGUCCAUAAUAUCAUCAAAAGAUUCAGAGGAUCUUAAAUAUGUGCUUAUUUCAGCAAAAUACCAAGCCACAUUCUGCACGUUACAACAGCGUGGCUUUGUGGUAAAAGAGUGUAAGUACUAGCCUGUCUCCCAUUGAAAGUGUGUGGUGCAUUAUCAUGUGCAAAAUACAACAAUGGAGACCCUGCAUUGUUGAGCAACUGAAGUUGUCAUCAAGCAAGAAUAGGAAUGAAUUCCACAUACAAAGAUUAGUGUCCUGAGUUCCCAAAUAUUUAGAGUGUUAGAAGGAAAGUUGAUGGCAUAGUAUUAAAAGGAAAGGUGACGGCAUCGCAUUGCUUCUCUGCCCUCAAUUACUUUGUGACAUUUUUCUGGUGAUUGGUGUUUCAGUCGGGGUUCUAGCUGGGCUAUUCAAGAACAGUCACCGAGUUGUUCUGAAGCCAUUCCUUUGUUAUUUUAGCUGUGUGCUUAGGGUCAGUUUACGUCCCAACCUGCUGCCCAGAGGAUGUGGUGAAACAACAGGACGAGGCAGGGGAAAUGUGCCAAAGAGACAAAUUUCCAGAAAGGUAAUGCUGCCAUUGUCUGUGCAGUACACGGACUUGACAUUGUGUUUCCACGUGGAACCAUGCUGCCGGCCAAAGGAGACCUGCGUACACAUGUGCUGGCAUGUGUCCAACAAAAAACUGUGACUCCUGUUGCUGACAUCUAUUGGGGACUGCUCGACACAUCUCAAAUAAAUAACAGCGUGCUGCAGGCAUUUGCGGAGUGGAAGCCGUGGAUUGUGUCCUUGGGGCCAUUCCUGCCACCCCCUGCACCUCCACAUUGUACCUUGUUCUAUUAUAGAGAACACGAUUUGAUUUAUCAACAGGAAGUUUUUGAAAAACUAUCAGACACUCAUGGUAUUUUACCAACUGAUAGAAUAGUGGUGGGACGAGAGGGUGUUGCGGCAGUGGUUGACCUGACAUCGGAUUUAUUGCCUUGGUUUAAAAUGCCAUUUUCUGCGCCUCACAUUGCUUUGGCACUUCCUAAAUAUAAACUACCGUUUCAUUUGGAAAUCUCUAACAAAACUCAUACUGCCGCUGCAGUAUUGUACCAACUAGUACGAAAGAAAAGGUACUACUACACACAAGUGUUUUGUUAGAACCAAUAGUAGCACGUGGAUCUCACUGCGAGAGGUAUGCUACAGCAGCUGCGGCUCUUAUCGAAAAAUGCGCACGUGUGGUGCUUAUGCACUCGCUCUGCGUACACACCACACACUCCACAAUCGCUUUCAUCAACUCACGACUAUUUACCUUUUCAAACAAACGAAAAAUGAAAAUAUUAUCAUUGUUACAACAACCGCAUAUUCAGUUUACACCUGUCAAUACUAACAUGGCCGACGGUGUAACUGAAGGAAUGCAUUGGUGUGAGGAGAAGGCUAGAAAAGACAAAGCAUGUAGUUCAGAUUUAUUGUCAGAACCGAAAUUUAUCUACGGAUGGUUGUUGUGAUCGGAAAAACAAUGGGGAACUAGUGGCUGGAAGGGCUGUAAUUGAACUCGUAGUGAACGAAAGGAGUCGUUGAACGUAUGAAUGCAACUUUAAAACAAAAAUGGGCUAAAUGCUGUGCACAGUCAAAUAUGUCAUGGUUGAGAGCUCUCCCAAUUGUGCUCAUGUCCAUCAGAGCAUCUGUAAAUAGUACACACAAACUCAGCCCUUUCGAAAUAUACCAUGAUUUUUCUUUUUCUUUUCCUGGUCCAGUUUCUGGCUCAUCUUUUGAUUCCCCUUCUUCCUUGACGCGACUGUCUUACUGUGAUCAAUUAAGAGGUGUUCUGUCCAGCUUUGCAGGCAUCCAGUCGGACGGCGAUAAUCCACCUGCAUCUGUUUGGCUUCGAGUCAUAAAGAGGAAGUGGUUUGAACCAAGGUGGACGGGACCGUUCACCGUGACUGCGAUGACUUCACACGCCUACCAACUUGAAGGAAAAGGGACUACCUGGUUCCACAGGUCACAAUGUCGUGUGGCCAAACCACUUUGAUUGUUUCAUUCGUGUUGCAUUUAUUGCCUCAAGUUGCAUUCGGCAAACAGGGGGAAUUUAGUAGACCAACAAUUCAUAGAGCAGUAGAAAGGGUACCAAGCAAAUGUGGAAUACCAUUCCAAAUUACAAUUAAUCACAAGAAAGGAACAAACAAUGCUUAUGUUUUCGACUUAUGCGACUUUUCGACUUUGGAGGCUAUAACAGCUCGUAUAGAGGAACAGACAUCUACUUACGUUUCGACCAGACGAUACAGACCCGAUUCGCGCAGAAUUUGCCAUAUAGUCAGUCGCACAUGGUGUCAGACAUAGGGACAAACCACCCAGUUUACCGGCAGGUGGACCCCACAAAAAAUGAUGGGCAAAGGCAUUAAGGGCCAGAAAAACCAUAAUGCAAUAAUGGAUACAAUAAAAUUCCAAAGAAAUUAUGAUUCAACAUAAAACCCUACUAUGCUAAGCAUCAAUGGUCAGGUAAUUGGACAAACACAACAUUCAUAUUUAGUGAUAGGAGCGGAUGUUUCUGGAAGAGAUCCACAUGGUCUUAUCCACAUCAAUGUAUUUGAGGAAGAACAAACCGCUAACAACCAAACAAGUUCCGAGGCUGUCGCAAACCCUCCUGUCGUACAAAUACUCAACAACCCACCUAGCACCGUGGAAAUUUUCAACACAGACAAAAUUAGAUCAAGUCAAAUUUUAGCUUUAGCCACAGGAUACACACAACAAAACCUGUGGAUAGCCUACUUACAAGAAACGGCCCGACUUGGCAAUUUUGGGGAUUGUAUAAUGUGUGCAGCCUCACGACCCACUGUAUAUUCAGCUCCAGGACCAAUUAUGGAUAUUGAUUCACUCAAUUGCAUGAUUGAAAUAUACAAAAUAAACCAUAAUGUUAUCUCUUGAUGUCCCAAGUAUGAGAAUAUGUGGGCAAAAUGACCUAAAAGUACAGUACCACUCAUGGCCCAUUAUGCAGAAGGAAAUUAGCAUGACAGAAUUAACCAGAACAAAACUGAAUAUGUGGGGGUAUUUCCAUUUUGUCAUAAUAUAAUAGAUGUCACUACAUGGGGAAAUAUUACGAUAUUGAGCAAAACAAGACCGAAAACAGAAAGUAAUGUCAGGUCAAAGAGAUCAAUCAGCGAUAAUUGGUCAGAGGACAGAACCACAUACAUAGAUGGCAUUGGAGUACCCAGAGGAGUUCCAAAUGAAUAAAAACCGAUUGAUCAAAUUGCAGCAGGAUUUGAAAAUAUGCCCAUCAUCUCUGCAUUGUUCCCAGUAACUCCAAACAUGAAUGUGGAUAGGAUCAACUUUGUUUAUUACCAUUUGCAAAGAGCAGUAAACUUAACCAGUGAUGCCAUUGAAGGCUUAGCUGAACAAUUGGCCCCCACUUCCCUAAUGGCAAUUCAAAACCGCAUGGCCCUUGACAUGAUCCUUGCCGAAAAGAAUGGUGUUUGUGCAAUGUUUGGCCCACAAUGUUGUACUUUUAUUCCCAACAACACAGCCCCGGAUGGAAAAGUAACGAGGGCCCUACAUGGGUUACAAACUUUGGCUGCUGAAAUGGCAGAUUCAACAGGCGUUUCCAACCCCCUGGAAGAUUGGGCUACGGCAUGGUUUGGAAAAUGGAAACACCUUGUAAUUACAUUUAUAAUUGCUAUUGUUACUGCUGUUACUUUGUUAUUGCUUUUCAGAUGCUGUAUUAUUCCAUGUACGAGGACACUGUGUGUCAAGAUGGUCUCGGGAGUGGCGGAAAAGAAUAUGAACCAGCCGGAAUCACAGAUGUUGAUGACCUCCGAAGAUGGAUGAAUUAUUGAUUAAGAAUAUACAGUGUCUUUUCUCUUAGCAUGUGUCGGGGCUUGUCUUUUUCCCUCCUCAAAUCAAUAUAUGGGGAGGUUUUUGGCCUGUCUCAAGAGUAGUACUGCCUUAUGAAGAAUGCUUAGCUCAUAACUACGUGGUUUAUAUAUCCUCUGAUAGCCUUCCACAUAGAGUAGUACUGCUUAGGGUCUGUUACAUAGUUCCACUAUGUAAACAGGGGAAUUGUUGGAUUGUUCUAUUUCGUACUCAUGAAGCUAUGUUCCAUUAUCUAACAAUUAAGUUCCGUUUCCAAAACACUAGGGUGAUACAUGAUUAAGUUUUGUUAUCCAGGAAAAUAGGUAGGAGUUUAGAUUACUGAGGAAUGAUGGUUUUAAUAUGACUCCCCCAUUUUUGAUAACACCCGAGGAGAUACCUUCUGCCAAACAGUCAUAUCGAAACCUUCAACUGAACAGUCAUAAUGAAACCUUCUGACGUGUAUAAAAGGAGUUGGCUCAAAUAAACGAGGUGUGUCACUCAGUGACCCUGCACUCUGGUGUGGAGUUGAUUGAAUGAACCCCGAGACUCAGCA